rnacentral:rRNA from 1 species
GACGAACGUUGGCGGCGUGCUUAAUACAUGCAAGCCAACUGAAGCACCGGUAGUAAUACUGGUGUGGAGGUGGCGCACGGUGAGUAACACGUAGGUAAUCUGCCUUCAGGUCUGACAUAACCCCGAGAAAUCGGGGCUAAUAGCAGAUGAUGCAGCGGCUUGACAUCAAGACAGUUGUUAAAGCUUCGGCGCCUGAAGAUGAGCCUGCGUCUGAUUAGCUAGUUGGCGGAGUAAUAGCCCACCAAGGCGACGAUCAGUAGCUGGUCUGAGAGGAUGAUCAGCCACACUGGAACUGAGACACGGUCCAGACUCCUACGGGAGCAGCAGUAAGGAAUAUUGCUCAAUGGGAGAAAUCCUGAAGCAGCAACGCCGCGUGAGGGAUGAAGGGCUUUUGCUCGUAAACCUCUGUAGUGAGGGAAAAAA